CCCGAAGACCGGGAUAACAGCUCGAAAGGGCUGCUAAUACCGGAUGUGCCCACGGAGAGGCAUCUCUCCGUGAGUAAAACCCGCAAGGGGCUUCGGGAGGGGCUUGCGGCCCAUCAGCUAGUUGGUAGGGUAACGGCCUACCAAGGCGGCGACGGGUAGCUGGUCUGAGAGGAUGUCCAGCCGGACUGGGACUGAGACACGGCCCAGACUCCUACGGGAGGCAGCAGUCGGGAGUCUUGCACAAUGGGGGAAACCCUGAUGCAGCGACGCCGCGUGCGGGAUGAAGUCCUUCGGGACGUAAACCGCUUUUGUCCGGGAAGAAGACAGUGACGGUACCGGACGAAUAAGCCCCGGCUAACUACGUGCCAGCAGCCGCGGUAAAACGUAGGGGGCGAGCGUUGCCCGGAUUUACUGGGCGUAAAGCGCGCGUAGGCGGCUGC
rnacentral:rRNA from 1 species